AUGGACCAGAGGACACCUCCACUCCGUCUACCCAGUGUUUAGACUAUCUGUUCAGGACUCCCAAAUUGUACAGUAGUCUGCACAUUGGUUAGGCUGGGCUGGGUUAGACCCUCGGCGCCGC
rnacentral:pre_miRNA from 17 species